rnacentral:rRNA from 1 species
GUGAAGAAGGCCUUCUGGUUGUAAAGCUCUUUCGGCCGGGAAGAAAUCGCAUUGGUUAAUACCUGGUGUGGAUGACGGUACCGGAAUAAGAAGCACCGGCUAACUACCUGCCAGCAGCCGCGGUAAUACGUAGGGUGCGAGCGUUAAUCGGGAAUUACUGGGCGUAAAGCGUGCGCAGGCGGUUUUGUAAGACAGGCGUGAAAUCCCCGGGCUUCAACCUGGGAACUGCGCUUGUGACUGCAAGGCUAGAGUACGGCAGAGGGGGGUGGAAUUCCACGUGUAGCAGUGAAAUGCGUAGAGAUGUGGAGGAACACCAAUGGCGAAGGCAGCCCCCCUGGGUCGAUACUGACGCUCAUGCACGAAAGCGUGGGUAGCAAACAGGAUUAGAUACCCUGGUAGUCCACGCCCUAAACGAUGUCAACUAGGUGUUGGGAGGGUAAAACCUUUUAGUACCGGAGCUAACGCGUGAAGUUGACCGCCUGGGGAGUACGGCCGCAAGGUUAAAACUCAAAGGAAUUGACGGGGACCCGCACAAGCGGUGGAUGAUGUGGAUUAAUUCGAUGCAACGCGAAAAACCUUACCUACCCUUGACAUGUCAGGAAGUCUUGAGAGAUUGAGAUGUGCCCGAAAGGGAACCUGAACACAGGUGCUGCAUGGCUGUCGUCAGCUCGUGUCGUGAGAUGUUGGGUUAAGUCCCGCAACGAGCGCAACCCUUGUCGUUAAUUGCCAUCAUUUAGUUGGGCACUUUAGCGAGACUGCCGGUGACAACCCGGAAGAAGGUGGGGAUGAACUCCAGUCCUCAUGGCCCUUAUUGGGUAGGGCUUCCCACGUCAUACAAUGGUCGUACAAAGGGUCCGCCACCCGCGAGGGGGGAGCCAAUCCGAAGCCGAUCUAGUCGGAUUGCAGGCAGCAACUCCCCUGCAUGAAGUUCGGAUCGCUAGUAAUCUGGAUCGCAGUCCCGG